UUUCUUGCUCCUCCUUCCGGUUGCUACCCUCUGCUCUUAAGUGAGUGGGGGGGUCAGCUCCGGAUCAUUUACUUUGAAAAAAUUAGAGUGUUUAAAGCAGGCAUUUAUCGUGCGGUUGGAUAUAUUAGCAUGGGAUAAUAGAAUAGGAGUUCUCACCCUAUUUUGUUGGUUUUGAGGCGAGAACUAAUGAUUAAUAGAGAUAGUUGGGGGUAUUCAUAUUUAAUUGUCAGAGGUGAAAUUCUUGGAUUAAUUAAAGAUGAACUUCUGCGAAAGCAUCUACCAAGGAUGUUUUCAUUGAUCAAGAACGAAAGUUAGGGGAUCGAAGACGAUCAGAUACCGUCGUAGUCUUAACAGUAAACAAUGCCGACCAGGGAUUGGGAGACGUUACAUGGAUGACUCCCCCAGCACCUUGCGAGAAAUCAUAAGUUUUUGGGUUCCGGGGGGAGUAUGGUCGCAAGGCUGAAACUUAAAGGAAUUGACGGAAGGGCACCACCAGGAGUGGAGCCUGCGGCUUAAUUUGACCCAACACGGGAAAACUUACCAAGUCCAGACAUAAGAAGGAUCACAGAUUGAGAGCUCUUUCUUGAUUCUAUGGGUGGUGGUGCAUGGCCGUUCUUAGUUGGUGGAGUGAUUUGUCUUGUUAAUUCCGUUAACGAACGAGACCUCAGCCUGCUAACUAGUUACGCUGGUCGUCUACUCGAGUGAACUGCCUGUAGCGGCAGGGUUUACUCCUUGUCGCAUCGGGUGGGGAUCUUUGAUGUGCCGGUGGAAAUACUUCUUAGAGGGACUAUUUGUAUCUAGCAAAUGGAAGUUUGAGGCAAUAACAGGUCUGUGAUGCCCUUAGAUGUUUUGGGAUGCACGCGCGCUACAAUGAUGAAGUCAACGAGUCUAACACCUUGGCCGGAAGGUCUGGGUAAUCUUUUGAAAUUUCAUCGUAAUGGGGAUUGAUCUUUGUAAUUAUCGAUCAUUAACGAGGAAUUCCUAGUAAGCGUGGUUCAUCAAACCACGUUGAUUUCGUCCCUGCCCUUUGUACACACCGCCCGUCGCUCCUACCGAUUGAAUGAUCCGGUGAAAUCUCCGGAUUGGGGGGUCCAACUGUCGGGGCAACUCGGCAGUAACUCACCGAGAAGCUGAUUAAACCUUAUCAUUUAGAGGAAGGAGAAGUCGUAACAAGGUUUCCGUAGGUGAACCUGCGGAAG
rnacentral:rRNA from 1 species